UACGGAGGAGGCAAGCGUUAUCCGGAAUUAUUGGGCGUAAAGCGUCCGUAGGUGGCUCUUCUAGUCUGCUGUCAAAGAGUGGGGCUUAACCCUGCAAAGGCAGUGGAAACUGAAAGGCUAGAGAGCCGUAGGGGUAGAGGGAAUUCCCGGUGUAGCGGUGAAAUGCGUAGAUAUCGGAAGGAACAUCAGUGGCGAAAGCGACUUCCUGGACCAGUACCGACGUUCAGGCACGAAAGCGUGGGGAGCAAACAGG
rnacentral:rRNA from 1 species